UUCCUUGUCCUUGUUUUCAAAGGAGACGCAACAAUGCUUAUCUUGGUACGUAUUUCCAAAGCAGACGCAACGACGCAUUAUCUUCUACGUCCUUGUUUCCAAUUAAAACUCUCAGCCACACAUCAACCCAACCUCACUAGACUGUGACAAUACCCAAUGGCAGCAAAUCAAAACGUCAAGACCAGCACCACCAGCAGUAGCAUUCAACAAUCCCAAAACAUUCUCCCAAAUAUAUUCAUUCACGGUCCUCCCAAAUUCUCCAUAUUCCUCCAACCAAAUCCUUCUCACAACUUCCACAUCCUAAACCCUUCUUGUCUUCCCCCUCUCCACCAAUUCAUAGCCACCAAUCCUCACCAUGCUUCCUCCAUCCACGCCAUUCUCUGUACCACUCUCUUCCCCGUCAAUGCAGAAGUUCUAGACCUUCUCCCCUCCCUCCGCCUUGUUUGCGCCUCAACCGCCGGAAUUAAUCACAUUGAUCUCGCUGAGUGUAAGCGUCGGGGAAUCCACGUCACCGAUGCCGGAAAUACUUUCUCAGAGGAUGUUGCUGAUAUGGCUGUCGGGUUGUUGAUUGAUGUCAGUCGAAAAAUUUCUGUGGCGGAUAGCUUCUUGAGACGAAAGCUUCAGCAUGCAUCUUGGGAUUUUCCACUUGGUUCUAAAUUGACAGGAAAAAAGAUUGGAGUUGUUGGUAUGGGAAGAAUUGGCUCAGAAGUAGCAACGAGGCUUGAAGCAUUCAGCUGCAAGAUAUCAUACAACUCUAGAAACAAAAAAUCAUCAAUUUCAUACCCUUUCUAUUCAAGUGUCUUAGAGCUUGCAACUAACACCAAUGUACUUAUUCUCUGUUGUGCACUAAAUGACGAAACAAGACACAUUGUGAACAAACAAGUCAUGUUGGCAUUGGGAAAAGGAGGAAUCAUAGUGAAUGUUGGAAGAGGUGGUCUCAUUGAUGAAAAGGAAUUGUUAAGGUGUUUGAUUGAAGGUGAGAUUGGAGGUGCUGGUUUGGAUGUGUUUGAGAAUGAACCUCAUGUUCCUAAAGAGUUAUUUUCUUUGGAUAAUGUUGUUCUUUCACCACAUGCAGCUGUGUUAACUUCAGAGUCUUUCAAUGGUAUCAGCAAAGUUGUGGAAGAAAAUUUGAAAGCCUUCUUUUCAAAUAAGCCUCUGAUUACUCCAGUUAUAUAGUUCGAUUGAAUUGUUUAUUCACAUAUUCUGUUGCACUUUUGUUGAAUCCUCCUGAACCUGUUUGUUCUUUUGAUGUUUCUAGGCCAUGCUCGUGUGGUCAGUGAUCAAUAAGCUGUUUAAAUAAAAUAGUUUUCAAUGUGAUUCUUAUGAGAAAUUCUCUCAACUCUCA